AGAAUAUCAUUUGUGCAUGAUUUUGUUUUAAUUUCAUAUUGGCUGAUAUUAUUAUGUGGCAGUUUGCGUAUAGAAUGCCUUUUCACUAGAAAUUUUCUUUAAUUCAUUUUGAAUGAUAUUGCGCUGACUUCUUAUUCAGAAUGAUUUAAUCAUGGUUGGAAAUUUUAACCUAUGAAAAAUUUUCUGUAUUAUUCUCCAUUGAGCUCUUGUUUCUAU
rnacentral:misc_RNA from 1 species